GACGAACGCUGGCGGCGUGCUUAACACAUGCAAGUCGAACGAAGUGGCGAACGGGUGAGUAACGCGUAAUCAACCUGCCCUUCAGAGGGGGACAACAGUUGGAAACGAAUGCUAAAACCGCAUACUGAAGGAGGGGAUUGCGUCUGAUUAGCUAGUUGGUGGGGUACCGGCCCACCAAGGCGAUGAUCAGUAGCCGGUCUGAGAGGAUGAGCGGCCACAUUGGGACUGAGACACGGCCCAGACUCCUACGGGAGGCAGCAGUGGGGAAUCUUCCGCAAUGGACGAAAGUCUGACGGAGCAACGCCGCGUGAGUGAUGACGGCCUUCGGGUUGUAAAGCUCUGUUAAUCGGGACGCGGUGCCGAAAUAGAAAGCCACGGCUAACUACGUGCCAGCAGCCGCGGUAAUUC
rnacentral:rRNA from 1 species